rnacentral:pre_miRNA from 1 species
ACAACAGCAUUCAGACUCUCGGUCUACCGAGCAAUAUCACCCGCUUGGUAGAAGAUCUUCCCUCCGUCGUUAUA